rnacentral:rRNA from 1 species
UACGUAGGGUGCAAGCGUUGUCCGGAAUUAUUGGGCGUAAAGAGCUCGUAGGCGGUCUGUCGCGUCUGCUGUGAAAAUCCAGGGCUCAACCCUGGAUCUGCCGUGCCGACUGUCAGACUCGAGGACUGUAGAGGCAGGCGGAAUUCCGGGUGUAGCGGUGGAAUGCGUAGAGAUCCGGAGGAAGACCGGUGGCGAAGGCGGCCUGCUGGGCAGUUACUGACACUGAGGCGCGACAGCGUGGGGAGCAAACAGG